ensembl:lncRNA
CACGGACUCGAUGGAUGUGAGUCUGAGUGAACUCCGGCAGUUGGUGAUGGACAGGGAGGCCUGGCGUGCUGCGAUUCAUGGGGUCGCAAAAAGUCGGACACGACUGAGUGACUGAACGGAACUGAACUCACCUAUCUGGAGCCAGUAUCCUCUGUUUCCUCAGCGCUUACCACAGGGAGUGGCCCCAGGGAGUGGCUGCAGUCUGAUGGUGACUUGAUGGCAGGGCUUCUAUCCACAUGGGCUUUCCUGCACCUGUUUCACAAGACAGCGACACUCCUCCCCGCACUGUGGCAAACUCUCCAUCACCUGGCGCGUAUGCUGCUCUGAGUCUCAUCGCACCUUGGUGAAGAAACACACGAGCCCAUAUGUCAACUGAGUAAAACACAAGGGGAGAGAGAAAAAUUGAAGAAGGAAUUCUGUUUUAAGACUGCAGCAUAGAAGUUCCGACAGAAUUCCCAGCUGGUUGUUUCAUUUCGUGGAUUUCAAACUCAUGGCAUCAACUCUUACCUGAAUUCCCAGCCUGCUGAUAGAC